GACGAACGCUGGCGGCGUGCUUAACACAUGCAAGUCGAACGGAAAGGCCCUGCUUUUGUGGGGUGCUCGAGUGGCGAACGGGUGAGUAACACGUGAGUAACCUGCCCUUGACUUUGGGAUAACUUCAGGAAACUGGGGCUAAUACCGGAUAGGAGCUCCUGCUGCAUGGUGGGGGUUGGAAAGUUUCGGCGGUUGGGGAUGGACUCGCGGCUUAUCAGCUUGUUGGUGGGGUAGUGGCUUACCAAGGCUUUGACGGGUAGCCGGCCUGAGAGGGUGACCGGCCACAGAGGGCCUGGGGUAGGGCCAGGAGUGCUACGGGAGGAAGGAGUGGGGACUAGUGCGCAAUGGGCGGAAGGCUGAAGGAGCAACGCCGCGUGCGAGAUGACGGCCUUCGGGUAGGAACACGCGUUCGCCUGUGACGAAGCGUGAGUGACGGUAAUGGGUAAAGAAGCACCGGCUAACUACGU
rnacentral:rRNA from 1 species